rnacentral:rRNA from 1 species
CCUACGGGAGGCAGCAGUGGGGAAUAUUGGACAAUGGGGGCAACCCUGAUCCAGCCAUGCCGCGUGUGUGAAGAAGGCCCUCGGGUUGUAAAGCACUUUCAGUGAGGAAGAACGCCUGGUGGUUAAUACCCAUCAGGAAAGACAUCACUCACAGAAGAAGCACCGGCUAACUCCGUGCCAGCAGCCGCGGUAAUACGGAGGGAGCGAGCGUUAAUCGGAAUUACUGGGCGUAAAGCGCGCGUAGGUGGCUUGAUAAGCCGGUUGUGAAAGCCCCGGGCUCAACCUGGGAACGGCAUCCGGAACUGUCAAGCUAGAGUGCAGGAGAGGAAGGUAGAAGUCCCGGUGUAGCGGUGAAAUGCGUAGAGAUCGGGAGGAAUACCAGUGGCGAAGGCGGCCUUCUGGACUGACACUGACACUGAGGUGCGAAAGCGUGGGUAGCAAACAGGAUUAGAUACCCCAGUAGUC